rnacentral:rRNA from 1 species
UACGGAGGGGGCUAGCGUUGUUCGGAAUUACUGGGCGUAAAGCGUGCGUAGGUGGUGAGUUAAGUCUGUCGUGAAAGCCCCGGGCUCAACCUGGGAAUGGCGAUGGAUACUGGCUCGCUAGAGUGCGGUAGAGGAGAGUGGAAUUCCCGGUGUAGCAGUGAAAUGCGCAGAUAUCAGGAGGAACACCGGUGGCGAAGGCGGGUCUCUGGGCAACAACUGACGCUGAGGAGCGAAAGCGUGGGGAGCGAACAGG